UUUGUCACUGUGUAACCUGGAAACUGAAUCCUCUUAACAGGUCUACGGUGUUUCCUCUGUGGGAGACGCUGUGGAAACUUGACUGGUCUUGGAGCACUAAUGUCAUCAUGAAGGAGGCGGAGGUCAUGUAAAUCCUUGCUGCCAGGGGCGGGGUCAUCUGGCACAGCGCCAUUCAGAGGGGAAACUCAUUUGCAUGAGUCUCAAUCUUUGUUUUGUGCUGGUGUCCAGAUGUGCAGAGGCCUGCGCAGUCUG
rnacentral:lncRNA from 1 species